AGGACAAACAAAAUGCUGCACAGGCCCAAAUAAAGACAACUAUAGACACAUAGCAGAGGUUUCCUGCUUCAAGUAGCUAUUAUAUUAACCUACACUUUAGGCAAAGAGCAUUUUAGGUUUCACACUGAUGAAAACAUAGGAUGAGCAGAAGCAUCAGUAAAAGUUGCAUCUUUAAUGAAAGAGAUGAAACAGGCCAGCAAAGUCCACAGGUGUAAAACAUCCUGUGGGAACAAAAUGCAUGCAGUGGAACUGCAGUGCCAUUUUUUGGAAGACUAUAGAUAUGUUGAAUGCAUUUCCCAGCAUCUGAUCUGCAAGGGAGAAUGGUGAAAUCAGAAAAAGAGAGAAGCAAGCCCACCACAAAUGCACAGAGUGUUUUUACAGAAAUACUGGUGUGACCAAGGUGACUCCAUCCCUUCUCUCUGAUGGCAAUCACAUCACAGAGACCCCCUGGGCAAGCACAGCAGCCUCAUUUGUGAAGAGCUCAGAGAAAAAGCAGAAAACACCAAGCUGUUCAGCCCUGCCAAGGGACAGAGCACCUUAGACCUGCCCAGAGGCAAAUUCUAGGUGCUUGCCAGGCUUCAAGGAGAAAAGCUGCAGUGCCUCCAAAUUCUGGAUUUAUUUUGACCAGCAGUUGCACAGGCAUUUUGAGAAGCCACAUUUUGGACAUGGGUGUCUCCUCGGGGAGGGGGAACGGCGGGUCGGGGCGGGUCCGGCCCCGGCGCUCCCGCAGCGCGGUGCGUGCAGGGCGCGGGUCCUGCCCCGCACCCUGCCAAAGGCAACAGCCCUACCCUGCUCCGCAGCCCACGCAGGGAUCCCUCAUCCCGUUCCUGGACGGGGAGAAAUCGCCCCUCAGCGGGAAAAGCGACGGGAACCCCCGGGCGCGCUUCAUCUCCCUCCGGCUGAUGCUCGCCCCGGGACCGCCUCGGAGGUGCAUGACCCUCGCCGUGCUGUUUGAUCCGUUCUCCCUCUCCACCUUCUCAGGAAUUAUCUAUUUUUUUUUCUUUCCUAAACAAAUUUAGAAGGAAGAGAUUAGACAGGGGAGGGACAGGCUGGCUGCGAGCCUGCAGCCGGCGCUGGAAGGGAACCACAAGCCUUUCUCGGGCGGUGUUUGCUCGGGUUCCUUUAGCAAGCGCGGCACAAUGGCAACUAUUCAGGAAUCAGUCAAUAUGACCUGGCACUAACAAGCCCUAAAAACAUAUAUGCCUCAUUCUCACAGAGCCUAGGAAUCAUGUUUUUAAGCGGGAUUUACUUUACUUUGUCAACAGAACAGGUAAUGUGGGAAGUCUCUAUUGGAGAGUAAAAGCUUUUUCCGUUCCCUCUUCCAAAAGAGACAUUUGGACCAUAAAAUCGCCUUUCCUGGCCAGCUGAAGAGGUCCCACCACAGGUGGUCCUGAGUGACGGGAUUUCCUUCGAGCAAAAUUAAGCUGGAAAGGAGAAAUGCCCUGAGAAACCCAUCCGGCCUCCCCCGGGGGGGAUUUCCCAAGGGGUGAGCGGGACAAGCUCACAUGGGUGGCGGGAGGGUGGGCAGGGAGAGGGGCCCCGGCCACGAAAGGGUUACGAGCCCGGAGAGUGGAGCUGUUUGUCACCGGCACCCACUAGGAAAAAAAAAAAAAAAAAUAAAAAGAAUUACUGAUUAACGUGAUCUGUCAAUACGCCUUUGCCCCGCGGGACCGGAGCCGAUCUAUUACCUGGCACCUCCUUUGCCAUCUCCCUCACCUUGGUGAGCCCCUGCAUCCCUCCCCUGGCCCUGAGUCAUGGGUAAACACCGCCGGGUGCCAGGCUGUGCCCGGGGUACCCGCCCGGGGCCGGCGCCUCCCGGCCCCAGCGUGAGGGUUUAGGGGCUCCUGCGGGACAAGAGUGCAGCCUUCAGAGAGUAAAUGAGUGAGUUCCCCAUCAUUCCAAAGGGCACAGACAGGGAAGAGGAAAAAAAGUCACAGGCACGAAGAGACGGCUGGGGGGCGAGGACCUGACCCGGAGCGCAUCCCUGACCCGGCUGGAGGAAGCGGGGGGGGGAAUAAAUGUAAUAAUUCUUUUUGAAAAACAGUUGGAAAACGUUGCUUUUCGCAGUAAAGCGUGGCUGCACGCAGGAUAAACACGGGAGGGAAAAAGUAAUACCUUAAAUAAACCUGCCCUAGAUGGGGCGCAGUCCAGACCCGCAUCCCGCACCUCUCCUGGGGACGCCCCGCUCUGGCACCGCCGCUGCCCGGGAAGGGACCAGCAGCCCCGCUGCGGGGAACAGCCACCAGGAUCCAGAUCUCCCCGCGCAAAUUAAUUCAUCACAGAGCUUGUUAAACAAUUUGCAGGGCGAGCAUGUUGUGGACUGGGAGGGGGGGGGGGGGUUGUUCGAGGGGUUUUUUGGAGGGGGAGUCGGUGGAGGGUGUUUUGGUUUUACCUCCUCUCUGGGGCCAAACAGCAGCUGGCAGCCAAAAGACUUUCUGAACUGUUUCAUUUGGGGAAAGUGAGGAGAAAAGUGACGUCUGACUCUCUCCGCAUUUUAAAUAUGCUUGAAUAUAAUUGACUGACUGCCGCUAUGGAUCAUUUGACGUGGAUGAUGGUGGGUGCCCUGAAAGUCCCUGAAAAUGCUCAUUUGCAGGAAGAACCUGUUAAAAAUGAAGGGCUUGGAUCAAAUGUAGGGGCUAAAGGCAUUUGCUUGUGCCACCGUUCGCAUCACGAUUGUGCAAGCGCUCCUCCACCUCUCUCCAUACAUACAUCAAAUUUUUAGUUCAGAAAAGCCUAGUAGCUGUUCGGUAUUGGCUCAUAGAAACCCCUCACUGUAUUUCCCGAAAACCUCCUCUGUGCUGUAGGACCUGCUGUGUUAAAUUAUGAUCCAAAGGCUGUGGGGUGGGAACAAUCAAUCAGAAUACCUGGGGUAGUGUGUAAUGUGUGUGCUCUUGCCAGCGGGAGCAAGCGGCCCCUGAACACAGUCCCCCAGCAGGUUAAAUAAAUAUGAUACUAUAGACAAACCGAGAGGAUCACAUGGCCGCAUCAAUCAGCUGUUGAUAAAAUACAAUCUUCCUUUAAUACACGCUGGGAAAGUUAUUUAACACUUACAAAACCUGAAUUCAGUGCUGUUUCUUUUAGUAAAAGGGGAGAAAAAUAUUCUUUGAAAGUGCAACUCUUCUUAAAAGGCAAGGAAAGGCGACAGUUGCAUUUUCCUGGGGGAUAUAAUAGAAAGCUUUUAAUGAAGCCACAGACACUGUACAAAGUACCUGAGCCACGAUGCUGGAAAAAUACAGAAGCUGUUAAAAGAACAAGUCAAUGUAGAAGUGGCCGGAGCCGAUUCCUGGCUGCGCAUUAGGGUUUAUUUCCUUUCCAUUCAUGAUUUCACAACCCGGGUGGCUAAAAGGCUCCCGAACUGUUUCUUCUUGGCAUGCAAUUAGGGACGAGCCCCUCCAAGGAGGAAACGACCGGGGGUUCUUCCCUACCAGCUCAGCAUCUAUCGCAGCUGCCGGACAGUUGGAGCGGCUGGAAAAGCAGGAGAGACAAGGAUGCUCAGAUUAUAUUUUUUUAAUAGUUUGUCGAAGAAAUAAUAAAAUAUUAGAAUUUCCUAAAAGAAAUCAGUUCUCCCGGGUGUUUUUUUGAAAUAAAAGUUGUUGGUAAGGUC